rnacentral:rRNA from 1 species
UACGGGGGGGGCAAGCGUUGUUCGGAAUUACUGGGCGUAAAGGGCUCGUAGGCGGCCAACUAAGUCGGAUGUGAAAUCCCCAGGCUCAACUUGGGAACUGCAUCCGAUACUGGAUGGCUUGAAUUCGGGAGAGGGAUGCAGAAUUCCAGGUGUAGCGGUGAAAUGCGUAGAUAUCUGGAGGAAUACCGGUGGCGAAGGCGGCAUCCUGGACCGACACUGACGCUGAGGAGCGAAAGCCAGGGGAGCAAACGGG